rnacentral:rRNA from 1 species
GAUGAACGCUAGCUACAGGCUUAACACAUGCAAGUCGCGGGGCAGCAUGGGGGUUGCUUGCAAUCCCCGAUGGCGACCGGCGCACGGGUGAGUAACGCGUAUCCAACCUGCCCUUCACCACGGGAUAACCCGGCGAAAGACGGACUAAUACCGUAUGUUGUCCAUUGACGGCAUCCGAUUUGGACGAAAGGCUUGGCGGUGAGGGAUGGGGAUGCGUCCGAUUAGCCAGACGGCGGGGUAACGGCCCACCGUGGCUACGAUCGGUAGGGGUUCUGAGAGGAAGGUCCCCCACACUGGAACUGAGACACGGUCCAGACUCCUACGGGAGGCAGCAGUGAGGAAUAUUGGUCAAUGGGCGUAAGCCUGAACCAGCCAAGUAGCGUGCAGGAUGACGGCCCUAUGGGUUGUAAACUGCUUUUAUGCGGGGAUAAAGUGGCCCACGUGUGGGCUUUUGCAGGUACCGCAUGAAUAAGGACCGGCUAAUUCCGUG